rnacentral:tRNA from 1 species
GAGGGUAUAGCUCAAGAGGUAGAGUGCAUGCUCAGCAUGCUCAAGGUCUUGGGUUCAACCCCCAGUGCCUCCA